rnacentral:rRNA from 1 species
GAUGAACGCUGGCGAGAUGCCUUACACAUGCAAGUCGUACGAGAAUUUUUAAUUCAAGUGGCGGACGGGUGAGUAACACGUAAGAAUUUGCCUUUAGGAGGGGGAUAACAACUGGAAACAGUUGCUAAUACCCCAUAUGCUUUUUACUCAAAAGUGAAAUGACUCAAAAGUGAAAUGGAUUUUUCCGCCUAGAGAGAAGCUUGCGGCUGAUUAGCUUGUUGGUGAGGUAAUGGCUUACCAAGGCGACGAUCAGUAUCUGGUUUGAGAGGACGAUCAGACACACUGGAACUGAGACACGGUCCAGACUCCUACGGGAGGCAGCAGUGGGGAAUUUUCCGCAAUGGGCGAAAGCCUGACGGAGCAAUCUCGCGUGAGGGAUGACUGCCUAUGGGUUGUAAACCUCUUUUUUCAGGGAGGAACACAAUGACGUGUACCUGAAGAAUAAGCAUCGGCUAGCUCCGUGCCAGCAGCCGCGGUAAU